CGGCGCGGGCGAUUUGGAAGAAUGGCGGGCAGUUGGUCGCCGCGUUGCAAAGGUUGCUCUUCUACUAGCUGUACGUGUGGCGGCGACAAGGGCAAGUGGGGCGACUCCUCCCUGUUAGGCAGGCGGCUCUCGGAGGACUCGGACCGUCACCAGCUGCUGCAGAAGUGGGCCAGCAUUUGGACCUCCUUGAGCGGGGACCCGUCGGUGGCCUGUGCAGAGAGGACGCGGCGCGAGGAGGCUGUGGAGCCGGCCGAGGAGGAGGACAGGCCGCUGGUGUUUCUGUGCUCCGGCUGCCGGCGACCGCUGGGCGACUCCUUGAGCUGGGUGACGAGCCAAGAGGACACCAACUGCAUCUUGCUGCGCUGUGUUUCCUGUAAUGUUUCUGUGGAUAAGGAACAGAUACUGUCCAAACGUAAAAAUGAAAAUGGUUGUGGGAUCUUUGUUAUAACGAGUUGUACCCUGUUUGCUGAAGCACCGGCCUUUCGCUGUUGCAGUGUUCUGGAGACGUUGUACUGCUCUGGGUGCUCGCUCAACCUCGGUCACAUCUACAGAUGCACACCCAAGAGCCUAGAUUACAAGAGAGACUUGUUUUGCCUCAGGGUUGAAGCCAUUGAAAGUUAUAUUUUAGGGUCCUCGGAAAAGCAAAUCGUGUCAGAAGAUAAAGAACUUUUUAAUCUUGAAAGCAGAGUUGAAAUAGAAAAGUCUCUAAAGCAGAUGGAAGAUGUUUUGAAAGCAUUACAAGCGAAGCUGUGGGAGGUUGAAUCAAAGUUGUCCUUUACCAGCUGCAAAAGCUGAAAUGUCUUCCACGUGCCCCAUUCUGGACUCCCUGCAGGAACACUGAUUUUAAUGAACCAACCCACAAGCAUUGCGUAAUUUGGAAGUUGUGGCCCCUGAAUGAGCGCUUCCAGGGAGAAGCUACUAGAAGCCCUGGCUAAUCAGACACCUGCCUGCCUGCAUUCCAGCUAAUGAUCACAAACCAAAGGCAGAGGGAGCACAGGAAAUGAACCCUCGUGGUGUAAGGUUGGAAUGAUCAUUUAAACAUUUUCGGAGAAAGCAAACUGCACCUUGAAAUGGGAGACUCCUGAUGUCCUUCUUUGUCUACCUAUAGCCCCCAAACUCAUCCCUCCCUUUUCUCCACAGCAGCAACAACUUCUACUGAGUCAGUAGAAGUAGUUAGAAGCCAUUAAGAUUGUAGAAGUCAUUAAGUAGUAGAAAUCAUUAAGAUUCAAGGAGGACUCGGACCCAUGGAUAUCUGAGGAAGGGAGAGAUAACACAGGCCAGAGAAACAAGGGCACAAUAGUGAUGGUAUUGGGGUUGAUUGAGGAAGGGGCAAGAGUAACAGAGGGAGAGGUGUUAUGAGAAAAAGCCAAUAUGGCGGAGAUGGGGUUUCAUCCAUGUCUGUACACAUUCAGGCUUGCUUGAAUGGGAAGGCAAGGUCAUGGGGCAAGGUAUGAUUAAAGAAGGUGGGAGUAGCGUAGAUGACUCCCAGCCUGAAGUAAAGAACUGGUGCAGAACUCUCCACCUUCUUCUUCCUCUGCUGCAGGGAUCAAGGAGGCCUCACAUAUAAAUGGUGCACCUGGAUCCCUAACAGACUUCAGGGAAUUUUGGAAUAAGCAUCUGAAACAAAGGUUCCCACGAUGGAGGCCCACAGUGACAGAACUUUGCUCUCCUGGUCUUGCUCGUGGCUUGGCAUGGGCAAAGUGCCUGUGUGGCACAGGUGGGGAUCUACUGUGGGGCUUCAGAAAAGUGGCUUUCCUGCCUUAGGAGAGGAGACAAGGGAGGCGACACUAUCUUUCUCCCACUUCUUUUGCCAGAUGCUGUCAUUACAGAACAAUUGAUGUGCAAGACCCUUGGUUAAAACAACUGAAGAAAAUUCGGAAAAGCGAUUAUCUCUAAAUAGGUCAUUUGCACAGCAAAGAAGCUACUGCUCACUGAACUGAGCUGAACUCAUUGAAUUCUUUGACUCUUGCCUUUAUUUCGAGAAACAAAGAAUUUAUCCAGGAAAGCAAUUAAA